rnacentral:rRNA from 1 species
GACGAACGCUGGCGGCGUGCCUAAUACAUGCAAGUCGAACGCAGUGGGGACGGGUGAGUAACACGUGGGUAACCUCCCCAUCAGAGGGGAUAACACUUGGAAACAGGUGCUAAACCGAUACUGAUGGAUGGACCCGCGGUGGAUUAGCUAGUUGGUGAGGGGACGGCUCACCAAGGCCACGAUGCAUAGCUGACCUGAGAGGGUGAUCGGCCACACUGGGACGGAGACACGGCCCAGACUCCGACGGGAGGCAGCAGUAGGGAAGAUUCGGCAAUGGAUGAAAGUCGGACCGAGCAACGCCGCGUGAGUGAAGAAGGUUUGCGGGUCGGAAAGCUCUGUUGUUAGAGAAGCGGUAUCUAACCAGAAAGCAACGGCUAACUACGUGCCAGCAGCCGCGGUAAUAC